GGCAGUUCUCGGGUGACGCACCCUGGAAUUGGGCUCUCUCUUCUCUGGUUCCAGGUGUGUCACCCGAGAACCACA
rfam:Myotis lucifugus cont2.6465, whole genome shotgun sequence.